GUAGGUGGCAAGCGUUGUCCGGAAUUAUUGGGCGUAAAGCGCGCGCAGGCGGUUCUUUAAGUCUGAUGUGAAAGCCCACGGGCUCAACCGUGAGGGUCAUUGGAAACUGGAGAACUUGAGUACAGAAGAGGAAAGCGGAAUUCCACGUGUAGCGGUGAAAUGCGUAGAGAUGUGGAGGAACACCAGUGGCGAAGGCGGCUUUCUGGUCUGUAACUGACGCUGAGGCGCGAAAGCGUGGGGAGCAAACAGGAUUAGAUACCCUGGUAGUCCACGCCGUAAACGAUGAGUGCUAAGUGUUACGGGGGUUUCCGCCCCUUAGUGCUGCAGCUAACGCAUUAAGCACUCCGCCUGGGGAGUACGGCCGCAAGGCUG
rnacentral:rRNA from 1 species